GACGAACGCUGGCGGCGUGCUUAACACAUGCAAGUCGAACGGUGAAGCGAGUGCUUGCACUCGUGGAUCAGUGGCGAACGGGUGAGUAACACGUGAGUAACCUGCCCAUCACUCUGGGAUAAGCACUGGAAACGGUGUCUAAUACUGGAUACGACCAACCCUUGCAUGGGGUGUUGGUGGAAAGAUUUAUCGGUGAUGGAUGGACUCGCGGCCUAUCAGCUUGUUGGCGGGGUAAUGGCCCACCAAGGCGACGACGGGUAGCCGGCCUGAGAGGGUGACCGGCCACACUGGGACUGAGACACGGCCCAGACUCCCACGGGAGGCAGCAGUGGGGAAUAUUGCACAAUGGGCGAAAGCCUGAUGCAGCGACGCCGCGUGAGGGAUGACGGCCUUCGGGUUGUAAACCUCUUUCAGCAGGGAAGAAGCGAAAGUGACGGUACCUGCAGAAGAAGCACCGGCUAACUACGUG
rnacentral:rRNA from 1 species